rnacentral:lncRNA from 1 species
CACAAUAGCAGCAGCAGUCUAUAAAUGCUCAGGAUAGUAAUGCUAUAUAAAUUCAGGGUCUAAAACUCAGCCAGAGUCAAUUUGGCCCUCUACCUGUUUUUGUAAAUAGUAAAACAAAGUAUUUCUUGGACAAAGCCACCGUCAUUACUCUAUGUAUUGUCUAUGGCUGCUUUCAAAGUACAGUUGAGCAGUUGAGAUACAAAUCAUGUGGCCUGCAAAGCCUAAAAUAUUAACUAUCUGGCUCUUUACAGACUUCUUUAUGGCAAAGAUAAAAGAAGUUUGUUCUUUAUUUUGUUUGUUAGAUGUUUGUUUGCAUAUUGGCAUCCACACUGUGAUAUAAAGAUCAGGCUAACCUCCUAGAGUCCAGAAGCAGCUGCACUGGGGAUGCAAUGCCUUACAUGUGCUCAAACCCACAGUCAUCCUAUUUCUGUGGCACAGCUUUUGCUUAUGUGAUGAAAAGUGAAUUCUGGUUUGUGCUUUCCUCCACCUUCCCUGCUCCCAUCUGCGUGCUGACAAAGCAUGAAAAUUCAGUGAGUGGCUCCCAGUAGAGCCAGUCACUGCCAAGGUGAAUGUCGAUGACUCUUUGGGAAACUCUCAGUUUAAUACGGCUGCCCUAGUCCAUGAUCAGUUUCAUGCAGUGAGCUUUUCCAAGGCUCAUUUCCCUCACUGUGAAUGGACUUCCCCAUUGGGCAUAAAAUUUCAGAGGAAAAUCAGUGGAACACAAUCAGUACUAGUUAAAAAUGCAGAUUUCUGAGACCCACCCCAGAGCUGCUGAAUCCCUGGAUUAAGCCAGGAAAUCUUGGGUGGUGGAGGUGUAGGGGACAAAAGCGUAGUGAUUCUGAUCUAGAUCUCUAAUCCAUAUUUUGAGAAACACUGAUCCAUAGAAUCAUUUUCAGCUACAAAGCUUCACAGCUCUAUGAACACUUGGCUUGCUUUGCAUUUUAUUUCUCAAAUCAUUCUCUAUGCUUCUAUUUCUCUGUCUUUCAAAGCUGGAGAGUAUUCACGCAGUGUAAGAUUCAGUGUUGAAAAGAUUUCUACCAGUUGAAAUUUGUGUUAUUAUAUUUGUUUCAGGCAUUUAAUCCCUGUUGAGACUCUAAGCAUGGGCAGCUGGAUCCCUAUUCCAGGUGCUACGCCUCACAAAUUGUUGACAUCUUUCUUCUCUAUUAGAUACCAAAGCCCAGCUGCAGCAGAACUAACACAUCUACUCCCAACAUUGAGCCCUCCACUUGCCUGGGCGACCACCACCGAGGAUGGGAAAGGAUGACAUUGGAAGGGAAUUUGCAGCCCUCCUGAUCUCCAGAUGAAGAGCUUAUGGAUAUGAAAAGGCUUUCCCAAAGAAGCCAUGGAGUAGAAUCCAGGUCUCCCAGUUCGUGAUCAGUCUUCCAUCUCCCUGGUGGGCCAGAGAUAUUUCAAGUUGGCAGAGUCAAGCAUGAGCAAGGAGAUGGUGUGGGGCAGAGUGUGAACCAUAUAUUCCUAGACCCC